GUCCCCGUAGUUCAACUGGAUAGAACGAGCCCCUCCUAAGGGUUAGAUCCGAGUUCGAGUCUCAGCGGGGGCA
rnacentral:tRNA from 1 species